rnacentral:rRNA from 1 species
GACGAACGCUGGCGGCGUGCCUAAUACAUGCAAGUUGAGCGCUGAAGGUUGGUACUUGUCCCAACUGGAUGAGCAGCGAACGGGUGAGUAACGCGUGGGGAAUCUGCCUUUGAGCGGGGGACAACAUUUGGAAACGAAUGCUAAUACCGCAUAAAAACUUUAAACACAAGUUUUAAGUUUGAAAGAUGCAAUUGCAUCACUCAAAGAUGAUCCCGCGUUGUAUUAGCUAGUUGGUGAGGUAAAGGCUCACCAAGGCGAUGAUACAUAGCCGACCUGAGAGGGUGAUCGGCCAAAUUGGGAAUGAGACACGGCACAAACGCCUACGGGAGGCAGCAGUAGGGAAUCUUAGGCAAUGGACGAAAGUCUGACCGAGCAAAGCCGCGUGAGUGAAGAAGGGUUUCGGAUCGUAAAACUCUGUUGGUAGAGAAGAAAGUUGGUGAGAGUGGAAAGCUAAUCAAGUGACGGUAACUACCCAGAAAGGGACGGCUAACUACGUG